GAAAGAGUACUGGACAUCACUAGCAUCACUCCUCGGCGUCUUCGCUUUCUGCCAAAGCCUAAUGCAAUCAAUAAUCCCACCAGAGCUCCGUUUCGCCUUCCUCAAACUCUUCAACCGAACCUUCCACCUCUUCUCCUCCUACUGCUACUUCGACAUAACGGAGCUCGACGGCGUCAACACCAACGAGCUCUACAACGCCGUCCAGCUCUACCUCAGCACCUCCGUUUCCAUCGCCGGCAACCGUUUAAGCCUCACCCGCGCCGUCAACUCCUCCUCCAUCACGUUCGGUCUCUCCAACAACGACUCCAUCGUCGACACUUUCAACAACGCCACCGUCCUCUGGGAACACGUCGUCACUCAACGACAAACUCAGACGUUCGCGUGGAGACCGUUGCCCGAGGAGAAACGCGGGUUCACUCUCCGUAUCAAGAAGAGAGACAAAACACUGAUCUUAAACUCUUAUCUUGAUUUCAUCGCGGAGAAAGCUAACGAGAUCCGUCGGAAGAACCAGGACCGGUUGCUUUACACGAACACUCGAGGCGGGUCUUUGGACUCGAGGGGACAUCCUUGGGAGUCUGUUCCUUUCAAGCAUCCGAGCACGUUCGAGACUCUUGCGAUGGAUCCGACAAAGAAGCAAGAGAUCAUGGAUGAUCUUAAGGAUUUUGUGUUAGGUCAAAUGUUUUAUCAGAAAACGGGUAGGGCUUGGAAGAGAGGUUACUUGCUGUAUGGGCCACCUGGUACUGGUAAGUCUAGUAUGAUCGCAGCCAUGGCGAAUUAUCUAGGCUAUGAUAUUUAUGAUCUUGAACUCACUGAGGUGCAUAGCAACUCGGAGUUGAGGAAGCUGCUGAUGAAAACGAGUUCUAAGUCGAUAAUUGUGAUCGAAGACAUCGACUGUUCGAUCAAUUUGACGAACCGGAACAAGAGCAGUGGACUCAAAGCCGGUUUUGAACAUAGGCAAGUGAAAUAUUAGUUUUAAUAAUUUUUUAAAAAUUUAUUUUUACUAAAUCGUUUAAGACCUCCAAAAUCUUAGGAUCGGCUCUGAAACACGAAGUGGGUCGGGUUCGGGUGAAGAGUCUGGUAAUGGGAACACGAUAACGUUGUCGGGUUUGUUGAACUUUACGGAUGGGCUUUGGUCUUGUUGUGGAAGCGAGAGGAUCUUUGUCUUUACGACCAAUCAUAUAGAGAAGCUUGAUCCUGCUUUGCUUAGGAGUGGGAGGAUGGACAUGCAUGUGUGCAUGCACAGCCGGUCCUAGUUAUUAUAAGGCUAGAAGCCAAUUUAAAAAAUGUGGCUGAAGUCCCUCGAACCCGCAACCUGUAACAGGUUACAACAACCACCCAACCGCUGGGCUACUAAGAACUUUCUGUUUAAAUGUGGCCGUUUAGGAUGAUAAUAUUUGGUGGCUGGAAGCACAAGCUUCAUUGGCUUCCCUCCAAGACCGGCUCUGUGUGCAUGAGUUACUGUGACUUCCCGUCGUUGAAGAUUUUGUUGAGGAACUAUUUGGGGUAUGAGGAGGAAGAUGUGGACGGCGACGUUUUGAAGGAGAUGGAGAGAGUGGUGGAGAAGGCGGAGAUGACGCCUGCGGAUGUAAGUGAGGCUUUGAUCAGGAAUAGGAGGGAUAAGGAGAAGGCGGUUAGGGAGUUGUUGGUGGAGUUGAAGAGUAGAUGGGAGAGGAAUGUGAAAGGUGGGAAGUUGAGGGGUCAAAGUGGAAAUUUGAGGGAGUUGGAAAUUGUGGAGGAGGAAGAGAAGAGGGCUAUAGAUAGUCAAAAUGAAGAUGGUGAUGAUGUUGAAGAUGAAACUGAGCUCGUGGACAAUGUUGGUAAAGACUAGAGAGGAUUCAAAAUAAACAAUGUACAAGAAAAUGGUGAAAACUUGUUAUCUUUCUUCUUUUCUUUAUUUGAUGGGUUUUCUCUUUUUGAAUAUGUGAUAUGCAUCAGUUUUCAGUUUUUUACCACCUCAGCCUUGAAUAUACUUACGUUUUACAUAAUUGAAAGCUACUUCCAUAUUUUAUAAAUUUCUUUCCUAUGAGACUAAUCUUAAAAGCAGACAACUUUUUAACGGUUUAACAAUAUCUAAACUUUCAUAGUAAACACUGAUUCAUUUUUUAAAAACAUAAGAAAAUUUUGAUCAAUAAUAAAGAGAAAAAAUAGUCCCAAACAAAUCUUGACCAUCAUAAAUCACUCAAAUCAGCAAGUCUUAAACUCAAAGAAAGUUACAAAACCCAAAUUUGUUUUUCUUCUUUUCAUUUUACACUUGUUCCUUAACUAACCUCUUUGCCUUUGUCACUAUCAUAGCCUUACAUUUAUAUUUUCUGAACAAAUCCUUUUUAUUUAACUUUCUCUGUAAAGUUUUCUCGAGAAAUUUGUCAAAAAAAUUAAAAAAGAACUCUUAUUAUAAAUUGAAAGAGACCAUCUCUUCUUAAUAUCCCAAAGCUUUCACUUUUUUUUUUUAUUCUUCUUUCACACCUUCUCAAGAAAUCCUCUGUUUUCUCUUCACCCUUUUGAAGCUUCUCUCUUAACUUUGAUCUCUAAAGAAACAAAAAAAAUGAAAGAGUACUGGACAUCACUAGCAUCACUCCUCGGCGUCUUCGCUUUCUGCCAAAGCCUAAUGCAAUCAAUAAUCCCACCAGAGCUCCGUUUCGCCUUCCUCAAACUCUUCAACCGAACCUUCCACCUCUUCUCCUCCUACUGCUACUUCGACAUAACGGAGCUCGACGGCGUCAACACCAACGAGCUCUACAACGCCGUCCAGCUCUACCUCAGCACCUCCGUCUCCAUCGCCGGCAAC
rnacentral:lncRNA from 1 species